GACGUAGGAUGCAAGCGUUUGUCCGGAAUUAUUGGGCGUAAAGAGCUUCGUAGGCGGUUAUCUAAGUCUGGUGUUAAAGCCCGAAGCUCAACUUCGGCAUGGCAUUGGAAACUGGAUAGCUAGAGUGUGGUAGAGGUAUCGGGAAUUCCUGGUGUAGCGGUGAAAAUGCGUAGAGUAUCAGGAGGAACACCGGUGGCGAAAGCGCGAUACUGGGCCAUAACUGACGCUGAGGAACGAAAGCCCAGGGGAGCGAAAGGG
rnacentral:rRNA from 1 species